UUGAUUCAACUAAACGCGAGACACAGUUGGAAAGGUUCAAAGUAUGCGGUUCCCGUUUUCUUUGAAAUUUCUGCGUGUCAUAAUUACGGAAGAGCGUGAAAUGUGAAUAUUUCGUUUGUAAAGCUAUAUAGAAAUUCAGAAUGUACCCUGUAAUUUGACAUCACUUACUGAAUUGGGUUGAGCAGCAGUAUGCCCGUACACAUGUGCGGGUGUGUUUGGCCUGGGCAGCAUUGGGCCGAUACUAAAUGACGAGGAGUACCUGCCAUUUUGUGAUGUGGUAUCAGAACCGCCGGAAGGCGCUGAGCGCUGACGGACCUCCCUCGCCGUCUCGUGACGUCAGGAACAUCUCGUUUUCUGGGGUCGCAGCGCGCAGUCAGCGGUCGCGGCACGGGCAGUGGAGAAUGCGUGGACGCCACGCGGCGAUUCAGCCGCUUACAUUUCGUGGUGCUGAAUGGUGACUACUGGAGAGAGAUCGGAAGUGUAAAUUCAAACAGCAUUUGCUGUCCAGACAGCUGUAACGCUGCAUCUGCGGUGGUUACUUGUUGGAGCGUCUUUUCAUACCAUGUUUAUGGACGUAAUCAUUGUGUGCAUGUAAAUUUUCUGUGAUGAAUAAAUAGAACGAAACAGUCAA